GACGAACGCUGGCGGCGUGCUUAACACAUGCAAGUCGAACGAGUGGCGAACGGGUGAGUAAUACGUGGGUAACCUGCCCUCUUUUUGGGAUAAGCCUUGGAAACGGUGGCUAAUACCGCAUACUAUCGGAUGAACCCAUAUGGGAUUGGCUAGUAGGUGGGGUAAAGGCUCACCUAGGCGACGAUCUCUAGCUGGUCUGAGAGGAUGAUCAGCCACACUGGGACUGAGACACGGCCCAGACUCCUACGGGAGGCAGCAGUGGGGAAUAUUGCACAAUGGGCGCAAGCCUGAUGCAGCGACGCCGCGUGGGGGAUGAAGGCUUUCGGGUUGUAAACCUCUUUCGCUAUCGAACGGGUAGGUGGAGAAGAAGCGCCGGCUAACUACGUGCCAGCAGCCGCGGUAAUAC
rnacentral:rRNA from 1 species